AUUGAACGCUGGCGGCAUGCUUUACACAUGCAAGUCGAACGGCAGCGCGGGCUUCGGCCUGGCGGCGAGUGGCGAACGGGUGAGUAAUGCAUCGGGACGUGCCCAGUAGUGGGGGAUAGCCCGGCGAAAGCCGGAUUAAUACCGCAUACGACCUGAGGGUGAAAGCGGGGGACCGAAAGGCCUCGCGCUAUUGGAGCGGCCGAUGUCGGAUUAGCUAGUUGGUGGGGUAAAGGCUUACCAAGGCGACGAUCCGUAGCUGGUCUGAGAGGACGACCAGCCACACUGGGACUGAGACACGGCCCAGACUCCUACGGGAGGCAGCAGUGGGGAAUUUUGGACAAUGGGGGCAACCCUGAUCCAGCCAUGCCGCGUGCGGGAAGAAGGCCUUCGGGUUGUAAACCGCUUUUGUUCGGGAAGAAAUCCUCUGGGCUAAUACCCCGGGGGGAUGACGGUACCGGAAGAAUAAGCACCGGCUAACUACGUG
rnacentral:rRNA from 1 species